AUCCUUGAUUCGGCAGGACAUAUACUAAAAUUGGAAUGAUACAGAGAAGAUUAGUAUGGCUCCCGAGCAAGGAUGACAUGCAAAUUUGUGAAGCGUUCCAAUUUAAU